AAACCACUGCUGGGUUUGAACAAU
rnacentral:siRNA from 1 species